GGAUCAAUUGGAAACUCUGGAAAAACGAUUAAGGUUCUUUGAAAGUGAUCCUUCUGAAAUUACCACAUUAUCCGAGGCACAUAUUCGUGAAUGUAUAUUUGAAGAAACUUUAAACCGUGUUUCGUUGCCCAGAAGGACACUGGAGGAGGAGAAUAACCAUCUUGAGGCUGUACCUGUCACUUCUCAGGU